rnacentral:rRNA from 1 species
UGAACGCUAGCGGCAGGCUUAACACAUGCAAGUCGAGGGGUAACAGAGGUAGCUUGCUACUUGCUGACGACCGGCGCACGGGUGAGUAACGCGUAUACAAUUUACCUUUUACAGGGGGAUAGCCCAGAGAAAUUUGGAUUAAUACCCUAUGGUAUUAUUAAUUGGCAUCAAUAAAUAAUUAAAACUUCGGUGGUAAAAGAUGAGUAUGCGUUCUAUUAGCUAGAUGGUAAGGUAACGGCUUACCAUGGCUACGAUAGAUAGGGGCCCUGAGAGGGGGAUCCCCCACACUGGUACUGAGACACGGACCAGACUCCUACGGGAGGCAGCAGUGAGGAAUAUUGGACAAUGGGCGCAAGCCUGAUCCAGCCAUGCCGCGUGCAGGAAGACGGCCCUAUGGGUUGUAAACUGCUUUUAUACAGGAAGAAACCUUUUCACGUGUGGAAAGCUGACGGUACUGUAAGAAUAAGCACCGUCUAACUCC